UACAGAGGUCUCAAGCGUUGUUCGGAUUCAUUGGGCGUAAAGGGUGCGUAGGCGGCGCGGUAAGUCGGGUGUGAAAUCUCGGAGCUUAACUCCGAAACUGCAUUCGAUACUGCCGUGCUUGAGGACUGGAGAGGAGACUGGAAUUUACGGUGUAGCGGUGAAAUGCGUAGAUAUCGGGAGGAACACCAAUGGCGAAGGCAGCUCGCUGGGACGGUACUGACGCUGAGACGCGAAAGCGUGGGGAGCAAACAGG
rnacentral:rRNA from 1 species